rnacentral:rRNA from 1 species
AUUGAACGCUGGCGGCAGGGCUUAACACAUGCAAGUCGAGCGGCAGCGACUUGAACUGAACCUUCGGGGAACGCUAAGGGCGGCGAGCGGCGGACGGGUGAGUAAUGCCUGGGAAUAUGCCCUGAUGUGGGGGAUAACUAUUGGAAACGAUAGCUAAUACCGCAUAAAUCUCUUCGGAGCAAAGAGGGGGACCUUCGGGCCUCUCGCGUCAGGAUUAGCCCAGGUGGGAUUAGCUUGUUGGUGAGGUAAUGGCUCACCAAGGCAACGAUCCCUAGCUGGUCUGAGAGGAUGAUCAGCCACACUGGAACUGAGACACGGUCCAGACUCCUACGGGAGGCAGCAGUGGGGAAUAUUGCACAAUGGGGGAAACCCUGAUGCAGCCAUGCCGCGUGUGUGAAGAAGGCCUUCGGGUUGUAAAGCACUUUCAGUAGGGAGGAAGGUAGUGUAGUUAACACCUGCAUUAUUUGACGUUACCUACAGAAGAAGCACCGGCUAACUCCGUGCCAGCAGCCGCGGUAAUACGGAGGGUGCGAGCGUUAAUCGGAAUUACUGGGCGUAAAGCGCAUGCAGGCGGCCUGUUAAGUCAGAUGUGAAAGCCCGGGGCUUAACCUCGGAAUUGCAUUUGAAACUGGCAGGCUAGAGUCUUGUAGAGGGGGGUAGAAUUUCAGGUGUAGCGGUGAAAUGCGUAGAGAUUGAAGGAAUACCAGUGGCGAAGGCGGCCCCCUGGACAAAGACUACUCUCAGAUGCGAAAGCGUGGGGAGCAAACAGG